rnacentral:lncRNA from 1 species
AUGGCUGAAAGCCUCCCGAACGGUCCGAAAGGCCUAGGGUAUUUCACAGAGGAAGAGCGAGGGAGACAUUGUGCCUGGACCACCCAAGGAAAAGCUCCCUCCAAAGUGUUCAGCCCUGCCCUCGCAGCCCUCUGGCCUACCCUGGCACGCCUGAGCUCAGGCCGUUUCUAUCCCAGCACCCAGCAGCAGUCGCCAGGCCCUGUCCCCCAGAGGGGAGCCCCGUGUGUAGCUGAACAGGCCCUCAGCAAGUCACCGCAGCAGCCCAGAAGGACCACACCAGCUGAGCCUGGCCAAGCUUUCCAGGUGGCCCGGACUUUUAACCUGCGGACAGCUAGGAGCCGGGGAGGCAGCUGACCGUGAAAUACGCUUGAACUCACUCAAUUCUUCUCAGAGGAUUUCCAAUGACAACUGAAAUUGGCCCUUCAAGAACGAAACAGAAAUGUCCCUUUGUCCGGAGGGAGACCCCGGGAGACUUAUGACAUCGCAUGAGCUGUCUUGAAGCUG